rnacentral:ncRNA from 1 species
UGCAUCCUUCGGGGCGGGGUGAAAUUCCCGACCGGCGGUGAUGGAGGGGCAUCCCUCCUCAGUCCGUGACCCGCGUUUGCGGUGGAUCCGGUGAAACUCCGGGGCCGACAGUUAAAGUCUGGAUGGGAGAAGGAUGAA